UUUGUGCAUGUCCACUUCCGGCGCAGUUCAACAAUGGCUGAAACGAAGGCUAGAUGUCACUGCUCUGUUCCACUUUGUAAAUCGAACAAACAACGCCAACCCUACUUAAGUUUCCAUGGAUUCCCGACUGAAUUGAGUCUAAGGAAGAAGUGGAUUAAAGCGGUUCGCCGGGAUGAGGGGCCAAACUUUAAAAUAAAACAAGGUAGCACGUUUGUUUGUAGCCGGCACUUUAGUGAAUCAGACUACACUAACGCUACAGGUAGUGCUAGCAGGCUAGCGUUACCUGACGUGGCUAACUUUACCAACCGAGGUCGCAUCAAGCGUCUGCAAAUCGGUUCUGUGCCCUCCCGUUUCCAGUGGAACAACUGGGGACUGCCAAGAAGGGAGUCUGCUUAUAAAAGAGCAUCAACUCGCUUAGGCCAUGACGUUUGUCCAGCCCUUCCUCUGGAGCAGCCCCUACCAUGUGAGGAAGAGGCGAUGGAGGAGGUCGCUGCUUCGGUGGUGAUGACAGAACAUGAUUACGGUUCUGCUCUUAAACCAGGUGCACUGGAUGCUGCUGCUGCACACAUACAGCAACUGGAAGACAAAAUCAAGGAGCUGACAACAGAGCUGUCACAGCUGAAAAGUUGCUGCAGGCCUGCAAGAGAAGGUGCUGGCUGACAUGUUUCAGGUCAGUGUGUCCACUGUCUCCCGUGUUGUUAUAACGUGGGCCAACUACCUUUACCUGCUCCUUGGCUCCCUUCCCAUCUGGAUGAGUAAACAGCAAGUCAAGAACACCAUGCCAAGCAAAUUUGUGCAGUACAGUCCAGAUGUUCGGGUAAUCAUCGACUGCACCGAGGUGCGAUGCCAGAAUCCAUCAUCCCUCACUCUCCAGUCUGAGGUUUUCUCAUCGUACAAAAACACGACAACCUUGAAGGGAUUAAUUGGGAUUGCCCCAUGUAGUGCUGUGACUUUUGUGUCAAGUCUCUUCACCGGCUCCAUCUCUGACCGAGAGCUGACUGAACAAAGUGGACUGCUGGACUUACUGGAGCCAGGAGAUGGCUGCAUGGCAGACAAGGGUUUCACCAUCGAGAAGCUGCUAGCUGACCGUGGGGCAAUGCUGAUUAUACCACCCUUCAAGAUGACAGCGCAGUUCACCAAAGAGGAUGCUCUAAAAACACAAGCAAUCGCCCGACUUCGAAUCCUCGUGGAAAGAGCAAUACGCAGAGUCAAGGAAUAUCGCAUCUGGGAACACACUCUCCCUCUAACCUUGUCUGGGACAGUCAACCAGCUGUGGACCGUCUGCUGUGUGAUGACCAACUUCCAGGGACCACUUGAUUUAAAAGGCUACAUCCCUGUUGAAUAGUGUUUCCCCCGAUCACAUGCAUUCAACUGUAUACUGAAUACAUUGUAUAUAUUGAAUGAGAUGUAUAUAAUGAAUGAGAAGUCAUUCAUCUAUAAUCAAUUGUAAAGGUCAGUCCAUCCUGAAAGUAUUCAAAUAAUGUAAAUAUGUAAAUGUACUCAGAAAAAGGGAAUUAAUAAAAUCUUUUAUUCAUUCAU